rnacentral:rRNA from 1 species
UAACUCCGGUUGAUCCUGCCGUCGGGCACCGCUAUCGGAGUUGGACUAAGCCAUGCGAGUCGAGGGCACCCCGCAAGGGGAGACCCGGCGUACGGCUCAGUAACACGCGGAUAAUCUACCCUGUGGUGGAGGAUAACCUCGGGAAACUGAGGAUAAUACUCCAUAGUAAUCCUGUGCUGGAAUGCUGGGGUUACGAAAGCUCCGGCGCCACAGGAUGAGUCUGCGGCCUAUCAGGUAGUAGUGGGUAUAACGGACCCACUAGCCUUCGACGGGUACGGGCUUUGAGAGAAGGAGCCCGGAGAUGGAUUCUGAGACACGAAUCCAGGUCCUACGGGGCGCAGCAGGCGCGAAACUUUCACAAUGCUGGAAACAGCGAUGAGGCAACUCCGAGUGCCAACGCGUUGCGUUGGCUGUUCUCCUGCCUAAAAAGCAGGAGAAGUAAGGGCCGGGUAAGACGGGUGCCAGCCGCCGCGGUAAUACCCGCGGCCCGAGUGGUGCUCGUUAUUAUUGAGCCUAAAGAGUCCGUAGCCGGUCUGAUAAAUCCUUGGGUAAAUCGGGCAGCUUAACUGUCCGAAGUCCGAGGAGACUGUCAGACUUGGGAUCGGGAGAGGCGGAAGGAACUCCCGGGGUAGGGGUAAAAUCCUGUAAUCCUGGGGGGACCACCAGUGGCGAAGGCGUUCCGCUAGAACGAAUCCGACGGUGAGGGACGAAGCCCUGGGGCGCAAACGGGAUUAGAUAGAACCCUUUCUUUGUGCUGGCAAAGAAAGCGUUCACAGAAAGAAACCAGCAAAGAGAAUGGUUCCUGAAAACCCCGGUAGUCCAGGGUGUAAACGCUGCAGACUUGGUGUUGGGUGUCCCACGAGGUCACCCAGUGCCGGAGAGAAGUUGUUAAGUCUGCCGCUUGGGGAGUAUAGUCGCAAGACCGAAACUUAAAGGAAUUGGCGGGGGAGCACCGCAACGGGAGUAGCGUACGGUUUAAUUGGAUUCAACGCCGAAAAACUCACCAGGGGCGACGGACAUAUGAAGGUCAGGCUGACGACCUUACCUGAUUGUCCGAGAGGUGGUGCAUGGCCGUCGUCAGUUCGUACCGUAGGGCGUUCUGUUAAGUCAGAUAACGAACGAGACCCUCACCCUUAAUUGCUAUUCCUUCCUCCGGGAAGGAAGCACAUUAAGGGGACCGCUGGCGCUAAGCCAGAGGAAGGUGAGGUCUACGGUAGGUCAGUAUGCCCCGAAUCCCCUGGGCAACACGCGCGCUACAAAGGUCGGGACAAUGGGAUUCAAACCCGAAAGGGGGAGGCAACCCCGAAACCCGAUCGUAGUUUGGAUUGAGGGCUGUAACUCGCCCUCAUGAAAAUGGAUUCCGUAGUAAUCGCGGGUCAACAUCCCGCGGUGAAUAUGCCCCUGCUCCUUGCACACACCGCCCGUCAAACCAAUCGAGUUGGGUUCAAGUGAGGGUGUAUCAUUUUGGUACGCUCAAACUUGAAUUCAGCGAGAGGGGUUAAGUCGUAACAAGGUAUCUGUAGGGGAACCUGCAGAUGGAUCACCUCCUA